AAAAAAUGUCCAUUUCAGUUGAUGCCUUAAAUUUUUAAGUUAAAUUAACUCUAAACUAGCUUUAAAAAAGUUUAAUCUCAUACAGCUUAAAUGAAAAAAAAAAUAAUUAAAUUGCUCAAUUUAUUUUAACGAGUUAAAGUAUUGUAAACCCAAGUUGUAUGACUUAUGAUCAUAUCAUUUUUAAAGUGAAAAUAAACGUUUAAAAAAAAGCUUAAAUAUAAAUUAUUUAAAAAAUUGGUUUAUUAAACCAAAUAAAUUAUUAAAAAUAAAAUGAAAAAUACUUUAGAUAAAUAAAAAAUCAUUUAAAAUUAAAAGUUAGAAAUCUUUUUACCAAUUUUGUAGAAAAUAACGAUAAAUCAUGAUAAGAUACGACUAAUAUGAGAUGUUCCUGACAGGAUUCGUGGGAUGCAGACUCUUUUCAUAGAUGCCCUUUGUUCUGUGACAGAUUUCUGUGCUCAUGUCUUUCCGUCAGAUGAAUCUGUGCUGUUUUGUCACGUCUUGUCCAGGGCAGAGAGAUUGAUCUGCCAUAUUUGGCUGGUAAUUGUCGAGGAGCAGCAUGACGUCUGUCAUUACAGUGUCUCAAUCAAACCCUCCUGCGGCCGAUGGCUAUUGUAAAACCCUGUUAUCCUGAAUCCCUGCUCUCCUUUCAGAUGCUCCAUUAAUAACAGCAGAACUAAAGCGAGUUAUGAAGCUCUACAGCUGUGUAGGUGAUGCCGUUUUCUUCCAGGACUCCUUAUGGCUUUAUUCCAGUCCUGUCCGAGGGGAACAGAGCAGCUUUUCACUUCACAAGAUGUUAACUGCUGGACUGGAGUGGUGUGGAUUAUUGUGAUGUUUUUAUCAGCUGUUUGGACUCUCAUUCUGACGGCACCCAUUCACUGCAGAGGAUCCAUUGCUGAGCAAGUGAUGGAAUGCUACCUUUCUCUAAAUCUUAUGAAGAAACAAACUCAUCUACAUCGUGGAUGGUCUGAGGGUGAGUCAAUUUUCAGCAAAUUUUUAUUCCUUUAAGGACAGACCUCAUAAAAGUAUUGAUAAAGCCAUAUAGAGACAAGAACAUCAUAAAUUCAUGAGGUGGGCUCUUUUGGCUCGGGCCAAACCGUCCACCCACAGCACCACAUAGCAUUCUGUUACAAUGACUCAGAGCACCUUAGAUACGGCUGUGCAUCACCAUGGCAACCACCCACAACUCCCUAGCAUCAUGACAGCGAGUUUUACACAUGCAAACACCACUCGCAAAAAAUGACUAACAUGUGAACUGUGCCUGACGUGACACUGGAUGCUACUUCGUUUGCUCAAAGUCAUUAAGAUAAGUGGUUUCUAAUCCAUUAAUCCUUUAUUCGUUAAGAACAGCCAGUGAAAGUUGGUCCUGAGCUCUUAUUUGAAUGUUUCUAGAGCAGGAUAUUUUCAACAGUGACUGACAGUAUGUCUCUGAAAAGAAAUGUCACAGAAUGUCUCAGAUUCUGGCAAAUGUCAGCGCAAUGAACCGCUUUGGCCCGGAGUACAGUACGCCUGACAUUUCUUGCACCAAAGCACUGCUUCGGAAACUGCUGCGCAGCUAAAAACGCUAAAAUUACACCCAACUUUUUCCUUGACGGUGAAGUUAUCUGUCUUAUUCAUGCGGCAGUUUCCAAGACAACCUUUGAAAGCGUUACUGGUUUAUUAAGGGCUCUAAGUAUAGUUCCCAUUGUGUUUCACAUCUCUUUUAAAAUCAAGACUCCUAGUUUCACAGUCUUUCAUGCUCUUUGUGAUGUCUGGUGAUAUAAUGAACCUGUUUCAGUGGCAUUCAGUGUGCACUCAUUGUUUUGUGACGAGAAGCUCUUGAAUAAGUUUCAGCUCAGCACCUCUGCGUUUGCAAUCUCCUGGGUCUCUUAUCUACAGAAUGCCAUUCUCAUUUUCACCCACUUUUUGUUUUCUCCCUUCUCAUGGAUUAUUCUAGUUGUUGAGAAUCCAGCAUACAGUACCUGAGGUUGAGAUAAAUACAUUUGGAUUUCUAUUGCCA
ensembl:lncRNA